rnacentral:rRNA from 1 species
UGGGGAAUAUUGCACAAUGGGCGCAAGCCUGAUGCAGCCAUGCCGCGUGUAUGAAGAAGGCCUUCGGGUUGUAAAGUACUUUCAGCGAGGAGGAAGGCGUUGUGGUUAAUAACCGCAACGAUUGACGUUACUCGCAGAAGAAGCACCGGCUAACUCCGUGCCAGCAGCCGCGGUAAUACGGAGGGUGCAAGCGUUAAUCGGAAUUACUGGGCGUAAAGCGCACGCAGGCGGUCUGUCAAGUCGGAUGUGAAAUCCCCGGGCUCAACCUGGGAACUGCAUCCGAAACUGGCAGGCUAGAGUCUUGUAGAGGGGGGUAGAAUUCCAGGUGUAGCGGUGAAAUGCGUAGAGAUCUGGAGGAAUGCCGGUGGCGAAGGCGGCCCCCUGGACAAAGACU